ACUGCCGGAUUAAAUCAGCAAAAAUUUACAUAUUAAAUCGAUAGUUUAAAAUUUUGAAGAGAGAUGGUAGGAGAAACAACUUUGCUACUUUCAAUUAAUGCUGCCAUCUUUCGGACACACGUUAAAAUAUAACAGACAGCUCUUUCCAAGUUUUGUUUUAGGCCUAUUUAUCUAAAAUUUGGGCUCCAAUCAUAAAUCGUGUAGACCUGUCGUACUUUUCUUAACAUGUCACUCACAUUAAAUAUUAACGAAACUAUUUUCUUCGUCAUUUUUCAUGGUUGUGAUGCAUCUUUUUGGAGGGGGGAAUGGGGUGGAGAUGAUAAUAUUUGAAAACACUAUCAAUUAUAUGUAUUUAUACACGGCUUUCAUUAAGAAUCUCGUACGCGGAGUUAAAUGUUAUUCACGUGUCAGAAGGAUGGAGUAUACAAUGAUAAGAAGUGUCAAGGACGAGAUAAAGUAUUCUCGAACAUACAUUUGCGGCAGAAAGACACGAUUUCGUAUGCAGUGUCCAUAAACGAAAAUACUGUAUUAAUUCGACCGCAGAAAGAAUAAUAUGGCAGUAUGAUAUGGUGAGGUGUUUUGCUUAACGUAUUUGCUGUAGGAAUGCUAUACAAAUAUGUUCUUACAGUUCACUUACCACGUUCAUCAGCAGCCAUGUCUCAUCGCUACCGGCAAGGACUGGGAAGGAAGCGAUCGUGCGUCGCCUCCGAUGUCUGUUUUGGGGUUAUCACAGACUGAUAUAAUGCUUCGACUCGGUCUAAUGAGAUUACAGCAUCCAUUGGCCUUCAAGCGGAGAAAUAACAUCGACCAUGCACCUAAUAAACAACGGCAGAGCUGAAAAGUGCAACAAUCUCAUUCGAUCUAUACUUUUGUAUUAAUCCGCCUAGACAUUCUAAUGGGCAGUGAUUCCACAGAUAAAUAAAUAACAGUUCGUUGACA